UACAGAGGUGGCAAGCGUUGUUCGGAAUUACUGGGCGUAAAGGGCGCGUAGGCGGCGUGGUAAGUCACUUGUGAAAUCUCUGAGCUUAACUCAGAACGGCCAAGUGAUACUGCUGUGCUAGAGUGCAGAAGGGGCAAUCGGAAUUCUUGGUGUAGCGGUGAAAUGCGUAGAUAUCAAGAGGAACACCUGAGGUGAAGACGGGUUGCUGGGCUGACACUGACGCUGAGGCGCGAAAGCCAGGGGAGCAAACGGG
rnacentral:rRNA from 1 species